UACAACGAAACUGCGAAUGGCUCGGUAAAACAGCAAUAAUUUAUUCGGGGGUAAUUGCUACUUGGAUAACCGUAGUAAAGCUAGAGCUAAUACGUGCUACAAAGGCGAGACUCGCUCUCGUGGUACUAAGUAUUAGGUACAACCCAAUUUUUUUGGUGAUUCAUACUUAUCUUCUGAUCGCACUCUGUGCGACGCCCCGAAUAAAUUUCUGACCUAUCAACUUCGAUGGUAAGGUAGUGUCUUACCAUGGUUGUGACGGGUAACGGACCGUGGGUGCGGGAUUCCGGAGAGGGAGCCUGAGAAACGGCUACCACAUCCAAGGAAGGCAGCAGGCGCGCAACUUACCCAAUCCGAACUUCGGGAGGUAGUGACAAAAAAUAUCAAUAAGGGGACCGAUGGUCUUCUUAAUUGGAAUGAAAACAAUCUAAACACCUUAUUAAGGAACCAGCAGAGGGCAAGUCUGGUGCCAGCAGCCGCGGUAAUUCCAGCUCUGUAAGCGUAUACCAAAGUUGUUGCAGUUAAAACGCUCGUAGUCGAACUUUGGCGUGAGUUACGGAGACUCCUAAUGGACGUUGAAGUAACUCCGCCUUUGUGGAGGGGGGUGCGGUGGUACUUUAUUGUAUUGCUGUGCUUCCGCCACUGUUUACUGUGAAAAAAUUAGAGUGUUCAAAGCGAGCGUUUGCCAUGAAUACAUUAGCAUGGAAUAAUAGAAUAGGACCUGAUCCUGUUUUAUUGGUUUGUCUGUAUCAGGUAAUGAUUAACAGGGACGGUCGGGGGCAUUUGUAUUCCAGCGUUAGAGGUGAAAUUCUUGGAUCGCUGGAAGACAAACAGCUGCGAAAGCGUCUGCCAAGGACGUUUUCAUUGAUCAAGAACGAAAGUAAGGGGAUCGAAGACGAUCAGAUACCGUCGUAGUCUUUACUAUAAACGAUGAUGACUAAGGAUCAGCCGUGGCCUAUUGGUACGGUUGGCACUUUCCGGGAAACCAAAGUUUUUGAUUUCUGGGGGGAGUAUGGUCGCAAGUCUGAAACUUAAAGGAAUUGACGGAAGGGCAUCACCGGGUGUGGAGCCUGCGGCUUAAUUUGACUCAACACGGGAAAACUUACCAGGUCCAGACAUAGUAAGGAUUGACAGAUUGAGAGCUCUUUCUUGAUUCUAUGGUUGGUG
rnacentral:rRNA from 1 species